AACGAACGCUGGCGGCAGGCUUAACACAUGCAAGUCGAGCGCCCCGCAAGGGGAGCGGCAGACGGGUGAGUAACGCGUGGGAACGUACCUUUUGGUUCAGAACAACUCCGUGAAACUGGAGCUAAUACCGGAUAAGCCCUAACGUGGAAAGAUUUAUCGCAGAAAGAUCGGCACGCGUCUGAUUAGCUAGGUGGUGAGGUAACGGCUUACCAAGGCUACGAUGCAUAGCCGACCUGAGAGGAUGAGCGGCCACACUGGAACUGAGACACGGCCCAGACGCCUACGGGAGGCAGCAGUAGGGAAUCUUCCGCAAUGGGCGAAAGCCGGACGGAGCAACGCCGCGUGAGUGAAGAAGGUCUUCGGAUCGUAAAGCACUGUUGUUAGGGAAGAACAUAUGUGUAAGAAACAGUGCACAUCGUGACGGUACCUAAUCAGAAAGCCACGGCUAACUACGUG
rnacentral:rRNA from 1 species